rnacentral:rRNA from 1 species
GACGAACGCUGGCGGCGUGCUUAACACAUGCAAGUCGAACGGAAAGGCCCUGCUUUUGUGGGGUGCUCGAGUGGCGAACGGGUGAGUAACACGUGAGUAACCUGCCCUUGACUUUGGGAUAACUUCAGGAAACUGGGGCUAAUACCGGAUAGGAGCUCCUGCUGCAUGGUGGGGGUUGGAAAGUUUCGGCGGUUGGGGAUGGACUCGCGGCUUAUCAGCUUGUUGGUGGGGUAGUGGCUUACCAAGGCUUUGACGGGUAGCCGGCCUGAGAGGGUGACCGGCCACAUGGGGACUGAGAUACGGCCCAGACUCCUACGGGAGGCAGCAGUGGGGAAUAUUGCACAAUGGGCGGAAGCCUGAUGCAGCAACGCCGCGUGCGGGAUGACGGCCUUCGGGUUGUAAACCGCUUUCGCCUGUGACGAAGCGUGAGUGACGGUAAUGGGUAAGAAGCACCGGCUAACUACGUG